rnacentral:rRNA from 1 species
GACAGAGGGUGCAAACGUUGUUCGGAAUUACUGGGCGUAAAGCGCGUGUAGGCGGCUAAGUAAGUCGGGCGUGAAAUCCCACGGCUCAACCGUGGAAGUGCACUCGAAACUGCAUAGCUAGAGUCCUGGAGAGGAAGGUGGAAUGCUUGGUGUAGAGGUGAAAUUCGUAGAUAUCAAGCGGAACACCGGUGGCGAAGGCGGCCUUCUGGACAGUGACUGACGCGGAGACGCGAAAGCGUGGGGAGCAAACAGG